CAAUGUUGUUUAUGGCAAUAAAAGUCAUUGUGGAUCAAUAACAAUGCUCAUUUGCUAAAAAUAUACAAGCAUUGAUUCCAUUUCCAAACUAUUAUACUAUGUGAAUAUAUUGGCAAUUAAUCCAAUUAUAUAUAAAAGGAGAUACAGUAGGAUUGAAAUAGCUACCAGUUUCAAUCAAAUAACUACUUUAAUUUCUGUAUCAAGCCUCCUGGGUGUUAUUGUUUCCCAAGCAUCAUUGAGGGGGCACUUGUUCUAAAUAUAUGCAAUAAGUCUGGUUACCAUUAAAAAAUGUCCAUAUUCAGAGUUACCGUUGUACUAUAUUUUAUUAAAAUACUGCAGAAAUGCAAUAUAUUUCAUGAUUUUAAGAAUUAAUUGAAUGGGGACUGCAUGGUUAAAAGAGGAGGGGGGCUUAUUUAUUUUUGUAUCCAAAUGAGGGGGGGGGGUUAUUGGAGAGGGGCUUAAAGAGAAGGGGGCUAAAUAUAGAAAUUACAGUACCUCCAUUCUUUCCUCUCCCUUCCCAAACAUGCUGCAGGAGAGGGGGCAACUGCAGGGGUUAAAGCAUGGAUUGCAAGGUUGAUGUAUAAUUUGCAUGGUAUGUACCUGGUAAUAUGGAGUAAUGGGCUAGUAAAUAUAUCCUUGCCUAUAAUUAGUUGCUGAUUAAAUGUUCAAAGAUAUACAGUGUGAAGCAUGAAAAACAAAUGGUAGAUACCCACUGCAACAACUUUUCAACAAAUAUAUAUGGAUUUGUUCACUUCAUUUCUUACUUUCGACACAAGUAAUUAU